CUUUUUUUUUUUUUAGUUUGAUCAGGGAAAAAAUUUUAUUCCUAAUCUGGCUGCAGGAAGACCAUUAGUAAAAUCUAGAUCUCAGCUGAUGAACUUGAAGAAUGAAGUGUUUGUUGAAGUUAUUGA